rnacentral:rRNA from 1 species
GACGAACGCUGGCGGCGUGCUUAACACAUGCAAGUCGAACGGUGAUGGGUGGAGCUUGCUCUGCUUUGAUCAGUGGCGAACGGGUGAGUAACACGUGAGUAACCUGCCCCAGACUCUGGAAUAACCCCGGGAAACCGGUGCUAAUACCGGAUAUGACACAGAAUCGCAUGGUUUCUGUGUGGAAAGUUUUUCGGUUUGGGAUGGACUCGCGGCCUAUCAGCUUGUUGGUGGGGUAAUGGCUCACCAAGGCGACGACGGGUAGCCGGCCUGAGAGGGCGACCGGCCACACUGGGACUGAGACACGGCCCAGACUCCUACGGGAGGCAGCAGUGGGGAAUAUUGCACAAUGGGCGCAAGCCUGAUGCAGCGACGCCGCGUGAGGGAUGAAGGCCUUCGGGUUGUAAACCUCUUUCAGCUCUGAAGAAGCGAAAGUGACGGUAGGAGCAGAAGAAGCACCGGCUAACUACGUGCCAGCCGCCGCAGUAAAAC